CGUAUUCAAUUCCCCCGUGCCAUCUCUUUUCCGCUGAACUGGUAUUGGUGAUUGGUCUUUCCUGGUGAAUGAGUGUGAAUCUCAUUAGCUAAAGAAUCAUUUGCUAUGCUGCUUUCUUUCAUCAUAUGUAAUAGAGCUAGACUAAGUUCUUCCAUUAGCCAAUAGUAGUAUUGGACUUUUCUAGUCUAUAUCCCCCUAAUAUAGCGCAUAUCUACAUCUACUCUAAAUAGCGCAUCUACUCUCUAAGGAAGCAUGCGUUCAACUACUCAUGGGAUUGAAUCCCGUCUACUCAACCUUUCCAGGCGGGAUCUGAAUGGGAGGAGAACGCCAGUU
rnacentral:misc_RNA from 1 species